ACGCUGGCGGCGUGCUAAUCAUGCAAUCGAACGAACUUUCUUACACCGAAUGCUUGCAUUCACCGUAAGAAGUUGAGUGGCGGACGGGUGAGUAACACGUGGGUAACCUGCCUAAAAGAAGGGGAUAACACUUGGAAACAGGUGCUAAUACCGUAUAUCUCUAAGGAUCGCAUGAUCCUUAGAUGAAAGAUGGUUCUGCUAUCGCUUUUAGAUGGACCCGCGGCGUAUUAACUAGUUGGUGGGGUAACGGCCUACCAAGGUGAUGAUACGUAGCCGAACUGAGAGGUUGAUCGGCCACAUUGGGACUGAGACACGGCCCAAACUCCUACGGGAGGCAGCAGUAGGGAAUCUUCCACAAUGGACGCAAGUCUGAUGGAGCAACGCCGCGUGAGUGAAGAAGGUCUUCGGAUCGUAAAACUCUGUUGUUAGAGAAGAACACGAGUGAGAGUAACUGUUCAUUCGAUGACGGUAUCUAACCAGCAAGUCACGGCUAACUACGUGCCAGCAGCCGCGGUAAUACGUAGGUGGCAAGCGUUGUCCGGAUUUAUUGGGCGUAAAGGGAACGCAGGCGGUCUUUUAAGUCUGAUGUGAAAGCCUUCGGCUUAACCGGAGUAGUGCAUUGGAAACUGGAAGACUUGAGUGCAGAAGAGGAGAGUGGAACUCCAUGUGUAGCGGUGAAAUGCGUAGAUAUAUGGAAGAACACCAGUGGCGAAAGCGGCUCUCUGGUCUGUAACUGACGCUGAGGUUCGAAAGCGUG
rnacentral:rRNA from 2 species